rnacentral:rRNA from 1 species
AUUGAACGCUGGCGGCAGGCCUAACACAUGCAAGUCGAACGAGUGGCGGACGGGUGAGUAAUGUCUGGGAAACUGCCUGAUGGAGGGGGAUAACUACUUGAACCGGUAGCUAAUACCGCAUACCAUCGGGUGUGCCCCGAUGGGAUUAGCUAGGAGGUUGGGUAACGGCUAUCCUAGGCGAUGAUCCCUAGCUGGUCUGACAGGAUGACCAGCCACACUGGAACUGAGACACGGCCCAAACUCCUACGUGAGGCAGCAGUGGGGAAUAUUGCACAAUGGGCGAAAGCCUGAUUCAGCCAUGCCGCGUGUAUGAAGAAGGCCUUCGGGUUGUAAAGUACUUUCAGCGGGGAGGCGUUACCCGAAGAAGAAGCACCGGCUAACUACGUGCCAGCAGCCGCGGUAAUUC